GAGUGUAUAGCUUAGUUUUAGGUUAAAGCAAUAAACUUUUAAUUUAAAGAUCUUAGGUUCAAAUCCUAAUACACUCA
rnacentral:tRNA from 1 species